AUACUAAAUUUCUAUUUAUUUUUGUAAUUGUUGUCUCAGCAUGUUUAAGAUAAUGCUAAAUUAUAGUAACUAUAUAUAUAUAACAAUAUAUAAAAAUAAAUAUGUAUACUAUAUUUAUAUAUAUUUUUCAGUUCAGUUCAGUGGCAGGUGUCACUGGAUAGGGGGUAGUGAGGAGGAAGAGGCUAGAAGGGACCCAGGUUCUAGAAGAUGAUGGAGUAGGAGGUAAUGAACCCUUCCUGGGAUGUCAGGAAGUAGUAGAAAGUGAGACAGUAUUUGAGUUGAGACUUCAGGCUACUGGCACACUUUCUGUUGCCCGAAAGACAAUAUGUGGACUUUUGCAGACUUCAUUUACAAAACACAAAUUCAAAAAUCAAAUUGUUAUGAACUUAAAGAUAGUAGCUGGAAAAUAUUCUAUGUCCCAAGCACAGACCCUUAGAGCAGGAGGCUCUGUACUGAC
rnacentral:lncRNA from 1 species